rnacentral:rRNA from 1 species
AGUGGAUGGGGAGCAACCUAGUUGUGCGUGUGUAAAGGUAGUGCCAAGAAAAGCGAUGAUCAUGUUGAAAAUCAAUUCCCGGUACCCGAAACCGACACAGGUGGGCAAGUAGAGAAUACUAAGGGGCGCGAGGAAACUGUCUCCGAGGAACUCGGCAAAAUGACCCCGUAACUUAGGGAGAAGGGGUGCCACCGAGAGGUGGUCGCAGUGAAGAGGCCCAGGCGACUGUUUAGCAAAACAUAGGUCUCUGCAAACUCGAAAGAGGAGGUAUAGGGGCUGACGCCUGCCCAGUGCCGGAAGGUUAAAGAAGUUGGUCAGUUUUAGGAUGAAGCUAGCGACUGAAGCCCCGGUGAGCGGCGGUCGUAACUAUAACGGUCCUAAGGUAGCGAAAUUCCUUGUCGGGUAAGUUCCGACCCGCACGAAAGGCGUAACGAUCUGGGCGCUGUCUCGGAGAGAGGCUCGGCGAAAUAGGAUUGUCUGUGAAGAUACGGACUACCUGCAUUUGGACAGAAAGACCCUAUGAAGCUUUACUAUAGCUUGGAAUUGUGUUCGGGCUUCCUGUGCGCAGGAUAGGUGGGAGGCGUAGAAGGUAUUCUUGUGGGGAUACUGGAGCCAACGGUGAGAUACCACUCUCAGGAGGCUAGAAUUCUAACUUAAUUAAGGACAGUUUCAGGUGGGUAGUUUGACUGGGGCGGUCGCCUCCAAAAAGGUAACGGAGGCGUACAAAGGUUCCCUCAGACUGGUUGGAAAUCAGUCGAAGAGUGCAAAGGCAGAAGGGAGCUUGACUGCGAGAAGUACAGUUCGAGCAGGGUGGAAACACGGUCUUAGUGAUCCGACGGUGCUGUGUGGAAGGGCCGUCGCUCAACGGAUAAAAGUUACUCUAGGAUAACAGGCUGAUCUCCCCCAAGAGUUCACAUCGACGGGGAGGUUUGGCACCUCGAUGUCGGCUCAUCGCAACCUGGGGCGGAAGUACGUCCCAAGGGUUGGGCUGUUCGCCCAUUAAAGCGGUACGUGAGCUGGGUUCAGAACGUCGUGAGACAGUUCGGUCCAUAUCCGAUGUAGGCGUGAGAAUAUUGAGAGGAGCCUUCCUUAGUACGAGAGGACCGGGAAGGACGCACCGCUGGUGUACCUGUUAUGAUGCCAAUUGUAAACGCAGGGUAGCCAAGUGCGGAGAGGAUAACCGCUGAAAGCAUCUAAGUGGGAAGCCCACCUCAAGAUGAGUAUUCUGGUGUAAGGUCACGGGAAGACGACCCGUAAAUAGGCACGAGGUGGAAGUGCAGAGAUGUAUGAAGCCGAAGUGUACUAAUAGACCGUCGGCUUGAU